rnacentral:rRNA from 1 species
UGGCGGCAUGCUUUACNCAUGCAAGUCGAACGGUAACNGGGAGCUUGCUCCGCUGACGAGUGGCGAACGGGUGAGUAAUGCAUCGGAACGUACCCAGUCGUGGGGGAUAACGUAGCGAAAGUUACGCUAAUACCGCAUACGUCCUGAGGGAGAAAGCGGGGGACCGUAAGGCCUCGCGCGAUUGGAGCGGCCGAUGUCGGAUUAGCUAGUUGGUGGGGUAAAGGCCUACCAAGGCGACGAUCCGUAGCGGGUCUGAGAGGAUGAUCCGCCACACUGGGACUGAGACACGGNCCAGACUCCUACGGGAGGCAGCAGUGGGGAAUUUUGGACAAUGGGGGGAAACCUGAUCCAGCCAUGCCGCGUGAAUGAAGAAGGCCUUCAGGUUGUAAAGCUC